rnacentral:ncRNA from 1 species
CGAGGGUUGGAAUCACGAUGUUGUGGCCCCCGCUAGCGUUUUAUCCGGUCAUCACGGGGAUCCUCGCAGACCGGACGGUAUAGCUGCAUCAGUUCUAAAGUAGGCCGCUGGGGGUUACUCACCACUGCCCCGGUGCUCCGAAUUUCAUGAGAGCUGAUGCACUACACGCCGCGAGGGGGUGGGUCGUGUUGGACGGCCUAGAAAGUGUAGACGCCG